ensembl:lncRNA
UAAAAUAUUCCUUCUCUUUAUUUUUUCAUUAGUUUCAGGUAUGGCACAAAAAAAAUGGGUGAUAAAUCCAAAGUAACACAGGAGAAAGAAGCCUGAUCGUAUAUAAAUAUAGAGCACAAAACAGAGAAGAGUGACAGGUCAUCAUUACAGGGUGUCGGCACACAACAAGAUAAAUAACAUCACUUAAAAGCGGCGACCUCAGCGACCUCGAUGUUGCGCCAUCAAAUCAAAUGAUUCCCAGGGGUCUUUUAAAAUGUGAGGGUCGGGGGGGGGGGGGGGUCGGGGGAGGUUUGGCUAUUUUGCUUCAUUUUGCUCACCACCGAGCGACGGAAAUCCACGUUCGACCGUUUCUUUCCAUUUCGUAGGAACACUUUUCUGAAUCCGCCCGAUGACCCCGUCUUCUCUGCGGGUGCCAACCCACAAAGUUCUGGGCGCCCAUUGGCUUUGCCGGAUCGAUAACCGGGGGGGGGGGGGGGUGGGUGUACUGAUAAUCGGGGCCAUCGCUUACGAAUACAUCGCACUGGUGGGACUGAACGGGUUAUUCAGGGUGCUGAAACAGCGCAUUGAAUGGCACGAUGUGACAAAGCCCUUCUCAGGUUGAACAGAAAAUGAGAACAUUUCCACUGGAUAAGAAAUGUUGGGACUGUUCCUUUCAGAGACCCUUGAAGCUCUAGGUAUCAAUCAUUUAUAUUCAUGGUGAGAAUAAAACAUUACCAGGUGAUUAUACAGCUGGUAGAAAGUAAAAUGAGAAAAUUGAAGCUGAAUAAAAAAAGAAAAGAAAAACACCUUUGAGGAAACUACAGCAGCAUAACAGAAAUGAUUUAGAGCACAACUUUUUUAGUUUAUACUACUACAAAGUAUGCGUGUUCUGGGAAUUAAGGCAAUACUUUGUUUUGAAUUACAUUUCCUCGCAUGGAGGUUUAAUCUAAUUCACCACAGAAACAGAUUCAAGCGUCACAGUGGCUCCUUUUCAACGGUGUUAGUGUAAAUACUGGGUACAUUCAUCCGCAACUGCAACAACAUAUACAUAUAUUUCCCCCUUUUGAAUGAAACCGCAUUGAUUUAAGUCUUUGUUUCCUUCCCAGUUCAAGUCCACGUGAACCUCGCUAAUGUUACACAAAGUCAAACGUGCCAUAUUCUCCAGACGGAAGGUGGACUCGCUUCAUUCCCCUCCUGGUUAAAGCCCGUUGCCAAUAACAACCGAGUCUCCUUUCCCUUUUUCAACUACGUAAUGCAACUGAAGCAAACACCUCAUGUACAACGGGAUAAUUUGUCGAAACGUUGGUAUCUCAGCUGCACUUGUGUUGACUGAAUUUUGUGGUGAAUUUUCACGUUCUUCUCCAUCAAGGUUUUAGGCCUUUAUACCAAACAGUCAUCCAGUUACACGUGAUGGAAAAGGCAGCGGCGUAAAGGACUGCCCUCUUAACAAGGACACAAAGCGUACAACUCGUAUAGUACAACUCGUAUAGUACAACUCGUAUAGUCAGCCACAACAGAUAUACAGCACACGCUGGAGGUUCGGCUGGUGGGAAACAAAAGUGGUGCAGCCCUAUUUGCGAAGGCAGUAUUCAUUACUCGACGCCCACACGGUAUAUUAAGUAGAGACCUUUAAAUGUGAUAUUAUCAUAAAAGCAUUUGGAGUCACUCACCGCUGCAGAACUCAUCGCUGCGCGAUAAAAACGACACAACAGGCCUCCACGAAACGCUCGGCGGAACCUCGGGUCCUUCGCCAUACAGCCAGUAACACAACGCUGUUCACGUAUUCACAUUCUGUUAAUCCCCUCCGAUCGUACUUUGCAGCUCAGGGGACUUUAAUAAGAGCGGCAUCUCACCCAAAGGCCAGAAAGAUGACACGAGCUGCAGAAGAGAAACACAAGCAAACGGUGGUUCUUUUGGAGGUCCAGUUUUCUGGCAAAAUCUAACGAGUCUUCGUUCACACAGAUGGAAGUUUAGUUGAUGAAAGUACCCAGAAUUUAAUAAUACACACCACAAAAGCAGGAUUUUUUCUUUCGAUUCAGGUUGUGUUUUGAAAAGGUUCAUCCGUAUAAACCCCCACUACCGCGAAAAACAGUUGAAGAAGAAGGAAGAAGUUUUGGAUAAGUUUCUCGAUAGUCUUUCCCACGUGUUCCCAUUCUUUGUGUUAAGUUGAGCUACUUCACGGGACUUUGACCCCGGCUAGUCACGGGGAAACUGUUCCCCCAAGAGGGAGACGGCCACCAGGUCUUCGUUGGGAGGCUGUUUGGGGCGCGGGGGGGGGGGUAAAAGGAACAGCUGCCAACAUCUCUAAAGGAACUCGUAUCCAUACUUAGCAACAGCGACGACUGCUAACGGCACUUUGGCACUUUUCAUUACUUGCUAUUUCACAGGAGGAAAUAGCAAAUAGCUAAUGGAUUUAAUAUCUGAGCUGGUAUUUUUUUUUGGUGGGGGGGUUGGGGGGGGAUGUGUCAAAGUCACACAAAUCUCUUGUUCUUGAUGUGUCCAAAACAACCUAUGAAAGUCUGGAAGUUCUCAUCAUCAAAAGCACACGAAAGCAUGUUUUAGUAAAAGAUUACAUCUAGUUAGACUGUUAGAAAAUACCCCCCCCCCCUCCAGAACUCCAUUUACAUUCAUUAUGAUCUGGGCCUCAUGGGAAGAAAUAAAAUAACAUGAAUAAAAGCAGGAAACAGCUGUGAUAGUGUCUCUGUACUGAUGUCAUAAGGAUGCCCUGACAUGCCCGUCGUUCUGCUCGGUUCUUCUUUACAUGCGUCGGUUCUCUGUUGCACACGGACGUGACCCCCCCCCCCCCAGACCAGGCUACAUAUGCUGAGCUACCACAACACCAGGAGGAAGCUGAACCCGGGCCACCUGGUUUCAUGAUACGUUUGAAUAUAAAUGAUGCGUUUACUUGGUUUGGGUCACGCAUGUGCAAAGAAAUAUAAAAUGCGUUUUACAUGUCGAGACCUUGAACUGUAUGUUGUGCUUCCUGUACUCCAACAUAAAACAUUUAUCAUAAACCUUUGAAUAGAGCUUCUUUAACAUUUACAAGUUAUACAAUUCCCAAAUUGGUUUUGCUUCUUAUGCUUCCAUCAGCUUUGAUACGUAAGCGAUGCAAAGGGAGACAACAAGAAGAGAAAAGGAAGUAAAGUCAUCUUCAACGGAAAAAAUAAGAAACAAGACACAAGUCCUCAAAACAUUUGUCAUAACCAACAAUGGACGGAAUUUUUCAUUUUCUUAUUUUCUCUUUUUUACAAUACAUUUUUUAAAAACCCCGCUGGUUAAGGUUAUGGUCUCAGGUAGAUCUUCCACAGUCAAUCUUCACAGUUUGUGUAAAAGCAGAGAAACAUUCCCGCUAGAGUAAUAAAAUAUCAUGACUACUAUUAUGGUCAUUAUUAUCUUUUAUUCUCAUAUUGUUCCAUAUAAAUGGUGGAGGACAGGGGCGAUGCACAUCGCCCUAAUGAAGAGCCUGCAGUCCCAAAGUUCCUGCUCUCCUCCCUGUACAACGCCAUGUUUUAUUCAGCAGUUGUUCUUUUGUUUAAAAAAUGCUCGCCCGCGGGGCAGAGGAGAAUUAUGGGAACGGAGCGGAGCGGAGUAUUCAUUCAAUCAAGCGUCUGCAUCCUGCUGCACGAGCUCCUCGUUCUGCACAAAAAAAAAAAAAAAAAAAAAAGAUAAAAGAAAAAGAUCCACAGCCUCGCUGUCGCCAAAUUGUCCCCAAACCCGAUCUGCCAGCGCGGCCCGGUCAGCUGCCCUCACGCCGACCACAGGCCAAGGCUUCACACACACACACACACACACACACAGGCGACCGUCCAAUCAGGAGUUAAAUCUGGGUGGAGCACAAAGCCCCCCCACCCCCCCACCUACGCGCUCCAUCUGCACGCACAUGCCCUCCCCUCAGCACUCGUGGGGCGAAAUGAACAUGUAGAAAAUAGCCCAUCGGAGGAAACGUGAGCGGAGACGUGUUGUCGAUGUUGAGUAACACCCGGGCUCCCCGCGCGGUUUGUACUCGGAAGGCACUUUGUUUCAUGGCAGAAAGUAAAGUGGCUUCUGUUCCACCGGCGGACCGCCGACUGAAUACUCGAGUCCGGCCCCACUAAUCGGACCCUCCUCCUCCUCCUCCUCCUCCUCUUCCUCCCCCAUCCCUCCUCCCUGCUCUCCUCCUCCUCCCCUCUGGCCUCCGGUCCGGCUGACUUGCACCUCUGCUGAUUCCUCCUGCAUUGGUCGCCGUGCCGCCCUUCCGUCGGUUGGCCACUUGGACUCAGUGAGCACAGUGUUAAUAGAUACGUAGGCCGCAACAGCGCCUUGGAGUGGGGG